CAUUUCUGCCGCCGCCUCCCACAUGGAUCUGGAUCAAGCUCCCUCCCACAUCGUUCUCUCCUUCCCUUCCGUCGAUCGUUGCAGCCCGAUGCCUACCAGAGGCCGGAGUUGUGGCGUCCUCCUCGCGCAGAAUCAGUCCCCUCCUACCUCACCGCUACCUCGCCCCAUCUCCUGGUGAGGAGCCGAGGAGCAUGGGCCGCCUGCGCCGCCGUCACCUCACCCCGGUGCUAGGCGAGGAGCGUCGUCUACCUGCUCCGCCCCUACGCCUGGUGGUGCUCGACGAGGGGCUCCAGCCUCCGUGCCCCUCCUCAUCUAGUGCCGGCCUCCACGACCCCCAGCCUCCUCACUGCUAGAUCCAGUCCCCGUUCAUCUUGCGGUUGCAAAUCCCGGUCAGAUCGAGUGCUUAAUUAGUUCCCUUCACAGCAGAUUCCGUGGAUGCCUUCACUUAGUUAGCUCACUGUGGCAGAGAUAGCUGGAGCCUGGACCUUGGAGACAUCUGCGCUAUUGGUCACUGUGUAAGUAUGUUUUUGGUUGCGCUCAUGAUUGCAGGGUGUACAGAUUUUAUUGUCUGUUUAUGCUCGAUCUGUAGAGUAGCUUAGUUACUUAGUCGGGAGCAGUGACUCCGUGCCUUUGUAGUGACAACCUCUGAUAACACUGCUCAUCUUCAUGGGACUUUUUUAGAGCUAUUCCCUUAAUUUGUUAUUAUUGUUGGAAUCACAAAGCAAGCAAGCAUACAAGAGAGAAACACAUAUUCUCUAUAGGUUUUAUAAAAUUUACUAAACAAGAAUCUGUUAUAUAUGUUAAUUUGCAUGGCAUUUACUUUUCUGCUCCCUUUAGAUUAGAUUUGUUGGACAAUUGUAUGAUUUUGUAGCCUGAAUCUAUUAGAAGAUGGAAUAAUUAAUUGUUCCAAAAGGAUGGCAAACCUUAAUAAUUUAUAUCUUGUAACAAGUAAAAUGGCAGGGUGUACAUUGAUUCAGUCAUCCUAGCUCAUUAAUUCAGAUAUACUUGAAAGCAGUAGAUAAGCUGAGUUUGAAGUUUUGCACAUAGCUAUUGAAUGAUUAUUAGCCUCUGAUACAGAACUCAAUGGAUAAUGUAGUAUGGUCAGAGUUGAAAAGAAAGACCUUAUAAUUUGAUAACUAGCUACUAAACAGUUUCACCAACUUUUAAUUUGCCAUUGAAGUUCUGAAAUGGACUUAUUGGACUAAACAGUUUCACCAACAGUAUGCAAUAAUUUUUCCUUUACAAAUAUCAAUUUACAUGUAUACACAAGUAAAUCUUUAAUUUUUUCCUUCGAGUUUUUAGUUUACAUGUACCACAUGUAAAUUUUUCUUCACUUUAUAUGUUAUCUGUUAUAUUAAUUGGAUGCAUCAUGAAUGUUAAACCUCCAUAAGGAAAUACACCUGCAUUCAAGUAUUUGUAGAUGACUCUUUAUAGGUAUUUUACACAAACCAUAUUGAUCUGUUUGCAGGAACUGGCAUCAACUUGGCUAACAUAUGAAUAUGGGCACAGGUGGCCAAAGCUGGGAGCUGCACCCCAAUGAACUACAUGUUAGAAUAGUUAUAGAACUUGAUAGUUAAGUAUUAUGUUAAUAGAACUUAAUGUAAGAUGUUCCAUGCAACAGAAUUGAUAGUGAGAAUGUAGUUUGUCUGUCACAUUUGUGAACUUGCUUUAGCAUGCUAUGUAAAGGACCUUGUCACUUGCGCUUUUGACAAUUGUUGUCAUAUUCAACAGAAUAUGUGGAAUACAUUGGAAUUCUAAAGCGGUUAGUGUGUAUUUGUUAAUGACAGAAAUUUACAAAUGGUUCUGGGCCAAUGCUAUCAAAUAAUCAAACAAUGAGUUAUACUGCA
rnacentral:lncRNA from 1 species